CAAUGGGGAGCUAAUCACCAAAAGCCGUCUCAGUUCGGAUUGGGGUCUGCAACUCGACCCCAUGAAGUCGGAAUCGCUAGUAAUCGCGGAUCAGCACGCCGCGGUGAAUACGUUCCCGGGCCUUGUACACACCGCCCGUCACACCAUGGGAGUUGGUUUUACCCGAAGACGGUGCGCUAACCGCAAGGAGGCAGCCGGCCACGGUAAGGUCAGCGACUGGGGUGAAGUCGUAACAAGGUAGCCGUAGGGGAACCUGCGGCUGGAUCACCUCCUUUCUA
rnacentral:rRNA from 1 species